rnacentral:lncRNA from 1 species
CUCACUGAGUUGCUUAGCGCCUUGCCUUGCUGAGGCUGGCUUUGAACUCAUGAUCCUCCUGCCUUAGCCUCCUGAGCCACUGGGAUUAUAGGCAUGUGCCACUAUGCCUGGCCUAAGGAUUAUUUUUUAAGCCCCAGACUUUUUAAGUAAAACCCAUGUCAGAGAUUUAUCUUUUGAUGUAGGUUCAUUAAUCAUGCAUGUAGUCUACUUAAUGAACAAAGGGCUUUUUCGUACAUUUCAUGGGAGGGAACAGCAUUAUUUAUUCUAUUUAGCAAUGGUGCUUAGGAGCAUUUUUUCAGAAAGGCAUCACCAAAAAAUUUGCACACAAUUUCAGAAACGAUUCUUGGAUCCCCUGAAGACUUCUGGGGUCCUGGUUAAACAACCAUCUAUGAGCCAAGGUUCAUGGGAGGUGGUGACUACAUGACUUUAUUUUAUGUGAUUAAGAGGGUAUUAUCCCACAGAAUCAUCCGUUAAUCUUUUAAAGGUUAUGUAGGGGUUCCUAGGAAACAUGAGGCAGGAACUACCUUGUCCAAGACAUGUCCACACAUUUCACAAGAUUUUUUCUAUUUCUAAAGAUGUUUGGGACUUUCACAACUUUAUUUACCCAACUGAUAGGUGGACUAAAAAAAAAAAUGUGGAAGAGUGACAUAAGCCAGACAAAGAAGGAUAAAUACUAUAUCAUUCUACUUAUUUAAGGUACCUAGAAUAGGCAAAUUCACAGAAAGUAGAAUAGAGGUUAUGGGAGAUUAUAAUAAGGGGAUUGAAGAGUUCUUGUUUAAUUGGUACAGAGUUUUUGGUGGGGCUGAUGAAAAUGUUUGGGAUAUAUAUGUUUUGGGUACGUGAUAGGUACACAGCAUUAUGAAUGAAUUCAAUGCCACAGAAUUAUACAUUCACAAAUUGUUAAACUUUAUAUAUACAUUUUCCCACAAUCACAAAUUAUUUCUAAAAAUGAUGUGUGAAAAAGCUAUGUGUGCAUGUGUUGGAAAAGAUUAGACCUAUUCAUCAUAGAAAACGCAAAUGGUUGUGCAUGCCUGUAAUCCCAGCUACUCCAGAGGUUAAGGAGGAGGAUCAGUUCAAG